AAAAGUUGAUUCAUACUUUUCAUACUUUUCUAAAGUCAAUUGAGGCAAUUUCAAGAUUCCAGUCCUGCCAACUAAUAAUAUGUGUGGGUGGAUCUUGUUGCUAAAAUAAUGACCAUAAGACAUAGAGAAGAAUUUAUGUGAUUGGGACACAAGGGUGAUUUCUGUCAUACCAGAAAAAGAGCAGUGAGUUUGUAGCACAUAACUGAUUUAAGUUGAUACUGAAAGCACUAGUGAAUUCCUUCUUGAGAGAACAGAGAAGAUAUGCAUCUUAUGCUUUUGGUAAAGCGAGUUGUGUUAAAUAUCAAUGCUUUU